CACUAUCGUUAACUGAAUACAUAGGUUAACGAGGCGAACCGGGGGAACUGAAACAUCUAAGUACCCCGAGGAAAAGAAAUCAACCGAGAUUCCCCCAGUAGCGGCGAGCGAACGGGGAGCAGCCCAGAGUCUGAAUCAGCUUGUGUGUUAGUGGAACGGUCUGGAAAGUCCGACGGUACAGGGUGAUAGUCCCGUACACCAAAAUGCACAGGCUGUGAACUCGAAGAGUAGGGCGGGACACGUGGUAUCCUGUCUGAAUAUGGGGGGACCAUCCUCCAAGGCUAAAUACUCCUGACUGACCGAUAGUGAACCAGUACCGUGAGGGAAAGGCGAAAAGAACCCCGGCGAGGGGAGUGAAAAAGAACCUGAAACCGUGUACGUACAAGCAGUGGGAGCACCUUCGGGUGUGACUGCGUACCUUUUGUAUAAUGGGUCAGCGACUUAUAUUCUGUAGCAAGGUUAACCGUAUAGGGGAGCCGCAGGGAAACCGAGUCUUAACUGGGCGUUAAGUUGCAGGGUAUAGACCCGAAACCCGGUGAUCUAGCCAUGGGCAGGUUGAAGGUUGGGUAACACUAACUGGAGGACCGAACCGACUAAUGUUGAAAAAUUAGCGGAUGACUUGUGGCUGGGGGUGAAAGGCCAAUCAAACCGGGAGAUAGCUGGUUCUCCCCGAAAGCUAUUUAGGUAGCGCCUCGUGAACUCAUCUUCGGGGGUAGAGCACUGUUUCGGCUAGGGGGUCAUCCCGACUUACCAACCCGAUGCAAACUACGAAUACCGAAGAAUGUUAUCACGGGAGACACACGGCGGGUGCUAACGUCCGUCGUGAAGAGGGAAACAACCCAGACCGCCAGCUAAGGUCCCAAAGUCAUGGUUAAGUGGGAAACGAUGUGGGAAGGCACAGACAGCCAGGAUGUUGGCUUAGAAGCAGCCAUCAUUUAAAGAAAGCGUAAUAGCUCACUGGUCGAGUCGGCCUGCGCGGAAGAUGUAACGGGGCUAAACCAUGCACCGAAGCUGCGGCAGCGACACUAUGUGUUGUUGGGUAGGGGAGCGUUCUGUAAGCCUGCGAAGGUGUGCUGUGAGGCAUGCUGGAGGUAUCAGAAGUGCGAAUGCUGACAUAAGUAACGAUAAAGCGGGUGAAAAGCCCGCUCGCCGGAAGACCAAGGGUUCCUGUCCAACGUUAAUCGGGGCAGGGUGAGUCGACCCCUAAGGCGAGGCCGAAAGGCGUAGUCGAUGGGAAACAGGUUAAUAUUCCUGUACUUGGUGUUACUGCGAAGGGGGGACGGAGAAGGCUAUGUUAGCCGGGCGACGGUUGUCCCGGUUUAAGCAUGUAGGCUGGUUGUCCAGGCAAAUCCGGAUAAUCAAGGCUGAGGUGUGAUGACGAGGUACUACGGUGCUGAAGUAACAAAUGCCCUGCUUCCAGGAAAAGCCUCUAAGCAUCAGGUAACAUCAAAUCGUACCCCAAACCGACACAGGUGGUCAGGUAGAGAAUACCAAGGCGCUUGAGAGAACUCGGGUGAAGGAACUAGGCAAAAUGGUGCCGUAACUUCGGGAGAAGGCACGCUGGUGUGUAGGUGAAGUCCCUGCGGAUGGAGCUGAGACCAGUCGAAGAUACCAGCUGGCUGCAACUGUUUAUUAAAAACACAGCACUGUGCAAACACGAAAGUGGACGUAUACGGUGUGACGCCUGCCCGGUGCCGGAAGGUUAAUUGAUGGGGUUAUCCGUAAGGAGAAGCUCUUGAUCGAAGCCCCGGUAAACGGCGGCCGUAACUAUAACGGUCCUAAGGUAGCGAAAUUCCUUGUCGGGUAAGUUCCGACCUGCACGAAUGGCGUAAUGAUGGCCAGGCUGUCUCCACCCGAGACUCAGUGAAAUUGAACUCGCUGUGAAGAUGCAGUGUACCCGCGGCAAGACGGAAAGACCCCGUGAACCUUUACUAUAGCUUGACACUGAACAUUGAGCCUUGAUGUGUAGGAUAGGUGGGAGGCUUUGAAGCGUGGACGCCAGUCUGCGUGGAGCCAACCUUGAAAUACCACCCUUUAAUGUUUGAUGUUCUAACGUUGGCCCCUUACCGGGGUUGCGGACAGUGUCUGGUGGGUAGUUUGACUGGGGCGGUCUCCUCCCAAAGCGUAACGGAGGAGCACGAAGGUUAGCUAAUCCUGGUCGGACAUCAGGAGGUUAGUGCAAUGGCAUAAGCUAGCUUGACUGCGAGCGUGACGGCGCGAGCAGGUGCGAAAGCAGGUCAUAGUGAUCCGGUGGUUCUGAAUGGAAGGGCCAUCGCUCAACGGAUAAAAGGUACUCCGGGGAUAACAGGCUGAUACCGCCCAAGAGUUCAUAUCGACGGCGGUGUUUGGCACCUCGAUGUCGGCUCAUCACAUCCUGGGGCUGAAGUAGGUCCCAAGGGUAUGGCUGUUCGCCAUUUAAAGUGGUACGCGAGCUGGGUUUAGAACGUCGUGAGACAGUUCGGUCCCUAUCUGCCGUGGGCGCUGGAGAAUUGAGGGGGGCUGCUCCUAGUACGAGAGGACCGGAGUGGACGCAUCACUGGUGUUCGGGUUGUCAUGCCAAUGGCACUGCCCGGUAGCUAAAUGCGGAAGAGAUAAGUGCUGAAAGCAUCUAAGCACGAAACUUGCCCCGAGAUGAGUUCUCCCUGAGACUUUAAGUCUCCUGAAGGAACGUU
rnacentral:rRNA from 1 species